GGGGAUUUAGCUCAGCGGCAUAAGCGCCUGCCUUACAAGCAGGCAGUCACAUGAGUUCAAUCCCCG
rnacentral:tRNA from 1 species